UGGGGAAUUUUGGACAAUGGGCGAAAGCCUGAUCCAGCAAUGCCGCGUGUGUGAAGAAGGCCUUCGGGUUGUAAAGCACUUUUGUCCGGAAAGAAAUCCUCUGGGUUAAUACCUCGGGGGGAUGACGGUACCGGAAGAAUAAGCACCGGCUAACUACGUGCCAGCAGCCGCGGUAAUACGUAGGGUGCAAGCGUUAAUCGGAAUUACUGGGCGUAAAGCGUGCGCAGGCGGUUUUGUAAGACGGAUGUGAAAUCCCCGGGCUUAACCUGGGAACUGCAUUCGUGACUGCAAGGCUAGAGUAUGGCAGAGGGGGGUAGAAUUCCACGUGUAGCAGUGAAAUGCGUAGAGAUGUGGAGGAAUACCGAUGGCGAAGGCAGCCCCCUGGGCCAAUACUGACGCUCAUGCACGAAAGCGUGGGGAGCAAACAGGAUUAGAUACCCUGGUAGUCCACGCCCUAAACGAUGUCAACUAGUUGUUGGGGAUUCAUUUCCUAGUAACGUAGCUAACGCGUGAAGUUGACCGCCUGGGGAGUACGGUCGCAAGAUUAAAACUCAAAUGAAUUGACGGGGUCAUAGCU
rnacentral:rRNA from 1 species